rnacentral:rRNA from 1 species
GGGGAAUAUUGCACAAUGGGCGAAAGCCUGAUGCAGCGACGCCGCGUGCGGGAUGAAGGCCUUCGGGUUGUAAACCGCUUUCAGCAGGGACGAGGCCGCAAGGUGACGGUACCUGCAGAAGAAGCCCCGGCUAACUACGUGCCAGCAGCCGCGGUAAUACGUAGGGGGCAAGCGUUAUCCGGAUUCAUUGGGCGUAAAGAGCUCGUAGGCGGCCCGUUAGGUCAGGAGUAAAAUUCGGGGGCUCAACCCCCGCGCGCUUCUGAUACCGGCGGGCUUGAGUUUGGUAGGGGAAGGUGGAAUUCCCAGUGUAGCGGUGGAAUGCGCAGAUAUUGGGAAGAACACCGGUGGCGAAGGCGGCCUUCUGGGCCACAACUGACGCUGAGGAGCGAAAGCUAGGGGAGCGAAC